rnacentral:rRNA from 1 species
CAGUAGCCGCGGUAAUACGUAGGGUGCGAGCGUUAAUCGGAAUUACUGGGCGUAAAGCGUGCGCAGGCGGUUUGUUAAGACAGAUGUGAAAUCCCCGGGCUCAACCUGGGAACUGCAUUUGUGACUGGCAAGCUAGAGUGUGGCAGAGGGGGGUGGAAUUCCGCGUGUAGCAGUGAAAUGCGUAGAUAUGCGGAGGAACACCGAUGGCGAAGGCAAUCCCCUGGACCUGUACUGACGCUCAUGCACGAAAGCGUGGGGAGCAAACAGGAUUAGAGACCCCAGUAGUCCCUGUCUCUUAUAC